rnacentral:rRNA from 1 species
GACGAACGCUGGCGGCGUGCUUAACACAUGCAAGUCGAACGGAAAGGCCCUGCUUUUGUGGGGUGCUCGAGUGGCGAACGGGUGAGUAACACGUGAGUAACCUGCCCUUGACUUUGGGAUAACUUCAGGAAACUGGGGCUAAUACCGGAUAGGAGCUCCUGCUGCAUGGUGGGGGUUGGAAAGUUUCGGCGGUUGGGGAUGGACUCGCGGCUUAUCAGCUUGUUGGUGGGGUAGUGGCUUACCAAGGCUUUGACGGGUAGCCGGCCUGGGAGGGUGACCGGCCACAGUGGGACUGAGAUACGGCCCAGACUCCUACGGGAGGCAGCAGUGGGGAAUAUUGCACAAUGGGCGGAAGCCUGAUGCAGAAACGCCGCGUGCGGGAUGACGGCCUUCGGGUUGUAAACCGCUUUCGCCUGUGACGAAGCGUGAGUGACGGUAAUGGGUAAAGAAGCACCGGCUAACUACGUG